rnacentral:rRNA from 1 species
AUUGAACGCUGGCGGCAUGCUUUACACAUGCAAGUCGAACGGCAGCACGGGCUUCGGCCUGGUGGCGAGUGGCGAACGGGUGAGUAAUGCAUCGGAACGUACCGUGUAAUGGGGGAUAACGUAGCGAAAGUUACGCUAAUACCGCAUACGCCCUGAGGGGGAAAGUGGGGGACCGCAAGGCCUCACGUUAUACGAGCGGCCGAUGUCGGAUUAGCUAGUUGGUGGGGUAAAGGCCUACCAAGGCGACGAUCCGUAGCGGGUCUGAGAGGAUGAUCCGCCACACUGGGACUGAGACACGGCCCAGACUCCUACGGGAGGCAGCAGUGGGGAAUUUUGGACAAUGGGGGCAACCCUGAUCCAGCCAUGCCGCGUGAGUGAAGAAGGCCUU